ensembl:lncRNA
AUGGUGGUGCAGUGGCGCAGUGGGUUGGACCAAGUCCCACUCUCUGGUGGGUCUGGAGUUCAAGUCCUGCUUGGGGUGCCUUGCAACAGACUGGCAUCCUGUCCUGGGUGUGUCCUGUCUGCCUCUAGAUCCCCAAAUUUGUCAUCUUAUGUCAAGACAGAGGACAGGUUAUUUCGGCACCUCUUCAACAGCUAUCAGAAGUGGGUUAGACCAGUGAAGUACCUCAAUGGCACAGUGCGAGUCAUAUUUGGACUAGCAAUCUCCCAGCUGGUGGAUGUGGAUGAGAAGAACCAGCUGAUGACAACAAAUGUAUGGAUGAAACAGGAAUGGGUUGACGUGAAACUACGGUGGGACCCCAAUGAGUACCAAGGAAUUAAUACCAUCCGUGUCCCCUCUGACACCAUCUGGACCCCUGACAUUGUUCUGUAUGACAAUGCAGAUGGUUGUUUUGAAGGCACUUUUACAAAGGCAGUAGUGAAACAUGAUGGAACUGUCUCCUGGACUCGGCCUGCCAACUACAAAUCCACCUGUACUAUAGAUGUCACCUUUUUCCCCUUUGACCAACAGAACUGCUCCAUGAAGUUUGGUUCUUGGACUUAUGAUGAUUCUCAGGUGGACAUCCUGUUGGAGGAUGUUCAUGUAGACAAGCGGGAUUACUUUGACAAUGGCGAGUGGGAAAUUGUAAAAGCUACAGGCAGGCGUGGCUUGCGAAUAGAUGCUUCCUUCUCCUACCCCUUCAUCACCUACUCCUUCAUCAUCCGAAGGCUGCCCCUCUUCUACACGCUCUUCCUCAUCAUCCCCUGUAUUGGCCUUUCCUUCCUCACUGUUUUGGUCUUCUACUUGCCCUCCAGCUGCAGAGAAAAAAUCUCCCUGUGCACCUCAGUACUUGUGUCCCUCACUGUUUUCCUGUUGGUCAUUGAGGAGAUCAUCCCAUCCUCCUCCAAAGUCAUCCCACUCAUCGGGGAGUACCUUGUGUUUACCAUGAUCUUCGUCACCCUGUCUAUCAUCAUCACCGUAUUCGUCAUCAACAUCCACCACCGCUCUUCCUCCACUCACCAGGACAUGGCUCCUUGGGUCCGACGCAUAUUCCUACACCGACUACCCAAAUUGCUUUGCAUGCGUAGCCAUGUGGACCGCUAUGUUGUCCCUGGGGAAGACAGAGGAGCAAGAGGACAUAUCCAGAGUGCUGUGUUUGAGACAGAACCUCUCCUUGCAACCAGAAAUAACCUACAGGCAGCUCUGGAUUCCAUUCGUUACAUCACUCACCAUGUUGUCAAGGAAAAUGAAGUUAGAGAGGUGGUGCAAGACUGGAAGUUUGUAGCCGAGGUUCUCGACAGGGUCUUCCUUUGGGCUUUCCUACUGGUCUCUGUGCUGGGGUCAGCUCUACUCUUCAUCCCUGUCAUAUACAAAUGGGCCUGUGUUGUUCCCAAAAAUGCUGAGGCUACCAGCUAA